AUGGCGGGCAGCACGACGACGACGAUGACGGCGUCGCCGUUCCCGACGGUGGACAAGUGCGCGUCGGCGGGGCGGAGCGGGGACACGGUGGUGGCGGACCUGGACGGCACGCUGCUGUGCGGCCGGAGCUCCUUCCCCUACUUCGCGCACAUGGCCUUCGAGACCGGCGGCGUGCUCCGCCUCCUGGCGCUGCUCCUGCUGGCGCCGCUCGCGGGCCUGCUCUACUACCUCGUGUCCGAGUCCGCCGGGAUCCAGGUGCUCAUCUUCGCCUCCAUGGCCGGCGCCAGGGUGGACGACGUCGAGGCCGUCGCGCGCGCCGUGCUGCCCAAGUUCUACUGCUCCGACCUCCACCCGGAGUCCUGGCGCGUCUUCUCCGCCUGCGGCCGCCGCUGCGUGCUCACCGCCAACCCCAGGAUCAUGGUGGAGGCCUUCCUCAAGGACUACGUCGGCGCCCACCUCGUGCUCGGCACCGAGCUCCUCGUCUGCCGCGGCAGGGCCACCGGCCUCGUCCGCUCCCCCGGCGUCCUCGUCGGCGACAACAAGGCCGCCGCGCUCCGCCAGGCGUUCGGCGACGCCGCGCCGGAGCUCGGACUCGGCGACAGGAAGACGGACUACCCCUUCAUGCGGCUCUGCAAGGAGGGGUACGUGGUGCCCCCGACGCCCAAGCUCAAGCCCGUGCCGAGGGAGGACCUGCCCAAGCCCGUCAUCUUCCACGACGGCCGGAUCGUGCAGAAGCCGUCGCCGGCGCUCGCGCUGCUCACCUUGCUCUGGAUCCCCAUCGGCUUCCUGCUCUCCUGCCUCCGCAUCGCCGCCGGCUCGCUCCUGCCCAUGCGCAUGGUGUACCACGCCUUCACCGCGCUCGGCGUGCGCGUCACCGUCAAGGGCAACCCGCCACCGCCGGCCAGCCUUGAGACCGGCCAGACCGGCGUGCUCUUCAUCUGCUCCCACCGCACCCUCCUCGACCCCAUCUUCCUCUCCACCGCCCUCGGCCGCCCCAUCACCGCCGUCACCUACUCGGUGUCGCGGCUGUCGGAGAUGCUGUCGCCGAUCCGCACGGUGCGGCUGACGCGCGACCGGGCGGCGGACGCGGCCAUGAUCCGGCGCCUGCUCAGGGAGGGGGACCUGGUGAUCUGCCCCGAGGGCACCACGUGCCGGGAGCCCUUCCUGCUGCGCUUCUCCGCGCUCUUCGCCGAGCUCACCGACGAGAUCGUGCCGGUGGCCAUGGAGAACCAGAUGAGCAUGUUUCACGGCACCACCGCGCGCGGCUGGAAGGGCCUCGACCCCUUCUACUUCUUCAUGAACCCCAGCCCCGGCUACGUGGUCACCUUCCUCAACAAGCUGCCCCACGAGCUCACCUGCAAGGGCGGCAAGACCAGCCACGAGGUGGCCAACUACAUCCAGAGGCUCAUCGCCUCCACCUUGUCCUACGAGUGCACCAGCUUCACCAGGAAGGACAAGUACAAGGCGCUCGCCGGCAACGACGGAUCUGUCGUCUCCAAGCCAAACAUUGACAAGAAGAAGUUCAUGGGCUCCUAA
rnacentral:rRNA from 1 species